rnacentral:rRNA from 1 species
UACGUAGGGUGCAAGCGUUAAUCGGAAUUACUGGGCGUAAAGCGUGCGCAGGCGGUUAUGUAAGACAGGUGUGAAAUCCCCGGGCUUAACCUGGGAACUGCAUUUGUGACUGCAUAGCUAGAGUACGGUAGAGGGGGAUGGAAUUCCGCGUGUAGCAGUGAAAUGCGUAGAUAUGCGGAGGAACACCAAUGGCGAAGGCAGCCUUCUGGGCCAACACUGACGCUCAUGCACGAAAGCGUGGGGAGCAAACAGG